CGCGCACAGUCCCCUCCAUCCGUGCCUCUGCACGCCAUGUCCGCUCUGCCCGCCUCAUUUCGGCGCGGUUGGGCUGCGCCUGUGAGGGUGGGGUCGGAGCAAGCGAUGGAGCCAAUGAGGCGCGGCGGUCGCGUCGGGCUGACUGACAGCAGCCGCUGAGGUGGAGGCGGAAGGAAGCGGAAGGAGGCGGUGGCGGCAGAAGGGUAAGAUGGCGUCUCUCGCUCUGAGAGCGUAGGGGCUGUCGUGGGAGCGGGUGGCUGUGUGCGCGGCCAGGAUCCUGCUCUCCACCUCUGCCUACCACGUGGAGUGGGAGUAGGAGCGGGACCCCGAGCGCCCGGCCCUCUGCGACCUGGGGCCCUGGGUGAGGUGCUUCCCCGUCCUUGCCUCCAGAAUCCUUGCCCAGCAUCCAGCACCUCCUUCCUGUCCAGGAUCACCUUCUGGUGGAUUACAGGGUUGAUAAUCUGGGGCUACCACCAGCCCCUGGAGAGCAGUGGCCUCUGGUCCUUAAACAAGGAGGACACGGUGGAACAAGUCAUGCCUGUUUUGGUAAAGAACUGGAAGAAGAAAUGUACCAAGUCUAGGAAGGGUCAUGGGCAUCAGUGGUCCAGGGAAGGAAGCAAAGCAAAUGGAGAAUGGCAUGUUGUGACAGACAGUACGGGGAAGCAACUACAGAGACAGCUCAGCAGCUCCUCCUCCUAUAGCAGGGACAUCAGUAGGCACCGUAACAGCACCACAGAGCUGCAGAAAGCCAAAGCCAAGAAGGAGGAGACUUGGAAGCUGAUGGAGGCUGAAAUGGCACAGACAGGGCAGGUCCAGGUAAAGGCUCUGAUACUUUUUCAAGGACACCUGCUGAGACUUCCAGAUUCCACUUGUGCAGGGCUUCUUGGCAGUUUCCAAUCUUCAAAUCUUCAAUCUAUGACAGCAUAG
rnacentral:lncRNA from 1 species